ACCGUUUCAGAGGUCUCGGCCUCAAGUUCGGGAUUACCGAAGCCGGGAAAGAAGAGCUCGUUGAAACUGGGCGCCUUGAAAGCGGUAGCGUAGCUGGACCGCAACGUAUGAUUGGCGUCCAGGUCGUAGCCCAGCACCAGGCUUCCCGUCAGCUCAUCGCCAAAGGUCUCGUUGUCGUCAUGGCGUAGGCUCGUCUGCACGGCAACUGGAGAAAAAUCCAGGAGACCUUGAGCAAAGAUGGCCGUGUUAUCACGACUGUCUACCUCGAAGGCAUCAAAACCAAAGAAUUCGUUAGAAUCCCUGCCAGUGAUCUGAUCUUCGGUAUAUUCAGCACCGGCAAUGAACUCAUGAAAGCCAAAGGUCAGGGUAUUUUCCCAACGAGCAGUACGCGU
rnacentral:misc_RNA from 1 species